UUCACUCCGCUAUAAAGCCUAGAUGGCGCCCCCGCUACCGCCUUAUUGCGGCGCUCAUCCAUCACCCUCGCGCCUCCCAAUCCCGUUUCAUUCCAUGCCAUUCCGCCUCUUGCCCGGGAUUCCCGCGCCAUCACGCCGCGCUUGCUAUUCUCCGCUCACAGCUUUCGGUGGUCACCACUGAGGAUCGUUUCCUUGUUGGUUGUCUGCUUGCUGACUGAUGCUCCCCGUUGGCUGUUACAGUGCGUGAUUUUCUGAGAACUGGUUCCUAGCUUAGGCUCUAAGUUGCUGCUCCAAGCCUUGUACUUGCCACUUGCUCUUUCUCGUUUGGUGUUAUAGUUUGCUGUCUUGCUGGUAGUGUUACGGUGAGUUUUUCGUUGCGCGCUGCUUUGUAAUUGCCAGGUGUGAAGGCCAGGACUGAAGGUGCGGAGUGGAGACAAGCUCAGUGCGGAAACGUUAGCGAGCUGAGUGAAACCUCAGCCGCUCUGAAUUUGACAGCUAUUGGGUGAUCACUUUAGUCGGAUCGAGUUCAAACACUAAGCCAUGGCCUUCACCAACGCGACUGCUUCAACAGGGUUCGUGACUUCCGUGAUGAUUCUGUUUCUGUUGACAACCGUCUCUCCAAGCUUGGUGCAGGGGCGUAUGCUGCGAGGGUGUCCAUGCGGGCCAACCUACGUGGUCCGAGGAGGCGAGUCCCUCCAAAUGAUCAGCGAGAAGUGCAACGACCAGUUCAUCUUGGAGAACAACCCCCACAUCGUCGACCACGACGACCUGUUCGAGGGGCAGCUGCUCAAGAUGGAUUGUACGCUGCGCAAGAUCAACCUGUGCGACAUUGCUGGUGCUCUUCCUGUAUACUUUUGCUAGUCUCGACGACUGCAAGAAUCACCCCAAUGAUCCCGCACAG